rnacentral:pre_miRNA from 1 species
UUAACUCAAAUUUGUAUGGAGUGCGAUCGUUUGCAUACGUUUGCCGCUAGGGGCGCUGUUCCAACUGCAUACAAAAUUAGGUUA